AGCUCUGGUUGCCUAGUGGAUAGAGCGUACGCCUCAGAUGCAGGAGGUCGUGGGUUCGAUCCCCGGUCGAGUCA